GAGUUUGAUCAUGGCUCAGGACAAACGCUGGCGGCGUGCCUAAUACAUGCAAGUAGAACGCUGAAGAGAGGAGCUUGCUCUUCUUGGAUGAGUUGCGAACGGGUGAGUAACGCGUAGGUAACCUGCCUUGUAGCGGGGGAUAACUAUUGGAAACGAUAGCUAAUACCGCAUAACAAUAGGUGACACAUGUCAUUUAUUUGAAAGGGGCAAUUGCUCCACUACAAGAUGGACCUGCGUUGUAUUAGCUAGUAGGUGAGGUAACGGCUCACCUAGGCGACGAUACAUAGCCGACCUGAGAGGGUGAUCGGCCACACUGGGACUGAGACACGGCCCAGACUCCUACGGGAGGCAGCAGUAGGGAAUCUUCGGCAAUGGGGGCAAUCCUGACCGAGCAACGCCGCGUGAGUGAAGAAGGUUUUCGGAUCGUAAAGCUCUGUUGUAAGUCAAGAACGAGUGUGAGAGUGGAAAGUUCACACUGUGACGGUAGCUUACCAGAAAGGGACGGCUAACUACGUGCCAGCAGCCGCGGUAAUACGUAGGUCCCGAGCGUUGUCCGGAUUUAUUGGGCGUAAAGCGAGCGCAGGCGGUUUGAUAAGUCUGAAGUUAAAGGCUGUGGCUCAACCAUAGUUCGCUUUGGAAACUGUCAAACUUGAGUGCAGAAGGGGAGAGUGGAAUUCCAUGUGUAGCGGUGAAAUGCGUAGAUAUAUGGAGGAACACCGGUGGCGAAAGCGGCUCUCUGGUCUGUAACUGACGCUGAGGCUCGAAAGCGUGGGGAGCGAACAGGAUUAGAUACCCUGGUAGUCCACGCCGUAAACGAUGAGUGCUAGGUGUUGGAUCCUUUCCGGGAUUCAGUGCCGCAGCUAACGCAUUAAGCACUCCGCCUGGGGAGUACGACCGCAAGGUUGAAACUCAAAGGAAUUGACGGGGGCCCGCACAAGCGGUGGAGCAUGUGGUUUAAUUCGAAGCAACGCGAAGAACCUUACCAGGUCUUGACAUCCCGAUGCUAUUUCUAGAGAUAGAAAGUUACUUCGGUACAUCGGUGACAGGUGGUGCAUGGUUGUCGUCAGCUCGUGUCGUGAGAUGUUGGGUUAAGUCCCGCAACGAGCGCAACCCCUAUUGUUAGUUGCCAUCAUUCAGUUGGGCACUCUAGCGAGACUGCCGGUAAUAAACCGGAGGAAGGUGGGGAUGACGUCAAAUCAUCAUGCCCCUUAUGACCUGGGCUACACACGUGCUACAAUGGUUGGUACAACGAGUUGCGAGUCGGUGACGGCAAGCUAAUCUCUUAAAGCCAAUCUCAGUUCGGAUUGUAGGCUGCAACUCGCCUACAUGAAGUCGGAAUCGCUAGUAAUCGCGGAUCAGCACGCCGCGGUGAAUACGUUCCCGGGCCUUGUACACACCGCCCGUC
rnacentral:rRNA from 1 species